rnacentral:lncRNA from 1 species
GAUCUUGGGGACUCCGGCAGCGCGUUAAGGGAAGUCCUGCUGGUCGAAUGCGACCUGGACAUGGCGUGGGAGCGCCGAGCUGUCCCCUUGUGGAUGGGGAGCUUUCGUUCACUCAGCAGACGUUUAUGGGGCGCAUGCGUGACUCUGGGGCGUUUAGCUGAGCCGGAGGCCCCGGCUCUUGGGGACGCGGUGGGCUGGCGGCGUCGGAUCACCCCGCCAUCCAUCUCACCACUCCC